GAAAAGCAGGCAACAUUCACUAGGACCUUACCUUAUGCGCCUUGCUCCAAGCGCAAGGCUCUAGAAAGGCGCGUCUUAUUUAUUUCUACUUUCGGUGAGCACUUUUAUUGAUAAAAAGCACUACUGCUCAACUCGAAAUUUGUCGAUCUAUAAGAAUAUGAUUUUGACACAUUAUGAAGUUUUUAAAAUUAAUAUUAUUGGUGAUAACUAGUUGCCAAAAUCUCGUCAAGCCAUCACACAAAAUAUAACAAACCUCUCAAAUUUUCAUUUUCAACGCCACCACUCUCUUAUUAUCUUCUUCU
rnacentral:misc_RNA from 1 species